CAAUUUCUUCUCUUCCUUUCUUCCAUUUCUCUCUCUCUAUUUCAUAUGUAUGCGUGAGUGGAGAAUUUUGUGCAAGAGAAACAAAAAGCAAUAUCUUGGUUUUGUUCAUAUAAAAGAUUUGGGAUUCUUCUUUGAAAGUUUUCUAGAAAGGGUUCUUGAGGUCUCAACAGUUUCAUUGAGGAGGAGGGAGAGCACAUACACAUAUAUAAAAGAUCGAGAAAGGAAGGUAGAAAGAAGCAGAGAAACAAGGAUUCUUGGAAAUGGUUUUCAUGUCUCAGAUUUUGUUUGCAGAGGAAGAGAUGGUUGAAGAUGGAGAGUGGGAGAAGAGAGAUAAUAUUCACAACCCCCAGUAGCAGCAGCAGAACAUAAAAUAGCAAUACAUAUUCAUAUAUACACAUUUCUUCAUAUACUCAUCUAGUUAAUUUUCAUCUGCUUCUGCUGGUAAUCCUCAUCAAGAUUAGAUUAACUUCUUUUCUUUCUGUUGUUUUUGAACAUGCUUUUAGAUUGAUGUUUUGCUGUCUUGAUUCAUGCCUGUGCUUGAUUGAAAUUGCAGGAGAUUUAUAUAUAUGAACUUCUUCUUCUUUUAUAGAACUUAUGAAGAAUUUUCUUUUUACCUUUUGAAUGUUUCGAUUUUCAAAACGAUGAUCUGUUUUUAGAAAAUAUUUUGGUUUCCAGCUGGUUUGCAAAUUGCUUUCUGCGCGUAACGCGUAAUCAUCAUGUUCUUUCUGUAUAUUUAUAUAUAUUUUCUGUUUUCCAGGAACACAAAACCCACUUUUGAAACAGAACAAAACACGGUCUUUGUAUUCAAGAAAACAUCUUUAUCAAAAACCCAUCUUCUCCUUCUAUUGUUAGAGUUCUAAAUCAUACUUAAAAAUGGGUUAUUAAUGGUUUUGGUGGGUUGUUUACAGGGAAGUUUUUGCAAAUGUCUGCUACCAUAAUCAGUGAUCCUAUGGUGAUAUCAACCCCAGAAACCCAACCAGCUGCAGCUGCAACAGCAACUAAACUAAUUGCAGCGCAAGCAGAAGUGGAGUUCGCCAAAUGUGAUUGUUGUGGUCUAACCGAAGAGUGCACGCCAGCUUACAUUGAAAGAGUAAGGGAGAGAUACCAUGGAAAAUGGAUUUGUGGGCUAUGUGCAGAAGCUGUAAAAGAUGAGAUUGUGAGGGCAACAGAGAGGCUUAUCAGCACAGAAGAAGCCAUGGCUAGGCACAUGAACUUCUGCAAGAAAUUUGUGUCCUCUGGCCCUCCUCCUGACCCAACUAUCCAUUUGAUAUCUGCUAUGAGACAGAUUCUUAGAAGAAGUUUGGAUUCGCCAAGAGGAUUAAGAUCAACCCCAUCUAGUCCUACCAAUACUAAUGGACAAAUGAGAGCUGCUGGGCUUACUAGGUCUGAAAGUUGGUUCCCUACUUUGUCUGGUUGAUACAUGUGGACUGCGAGGGGAUCAAUAAAAAAUCACAGAAGGGGAUACUGGAGAAAAUUACAGUUCAUUUGAUGCAAAUAAGAAAGAGGGGAAAAGGGCAAGAAAAGGGAAAAGCAAAAAAGAAAGAGGGAAAAAAUUUUGGACUUAGGUGCUUAAUAGUAGUUAUUUAGAUGUUAAAAUUAAAUACAGAACUUCCUUUGUCAGAAUAUGAAAUCCCAUUUUUCCUGAGACUUUAUGUUUCAGUUGUAUUUGUAAAAAAUGUCUUCUUUAAAUUCUUGCUCUUUUGUUUACUAAAUUAUAUAAAAAAUUAUAUGUCUCAAUGCUUGAUUGUGAUUGGGCUAGUUGCUUGCAGGUGUCUUCAUUUAUGGCUAGUCUAGCCUUUGAAUUUUUAUAUGGAGUGGCACUCACUAGGCACUAAGAAAUCAGAUUUGAUUAUAUUUUAGGUAGAAGAAUCUGUAUGAC
rnacentral:misc_RNA from 1 species